rnacentral:rRNA from 1 species
CCCUUAGUACGGCGAGUGAAGCGGCAACAGCUCUAAUUUGAAAGCUGGCCCUUUUAGGGUCCGCAUUGUAAUUUGUAGAGGAUGAUUCGGCGAGGGCUCCUGCCUAAGUCCCCUGGAACGGGGCGUCAUAGAGGGUGAGAAUCCCGUAUGCGGUAGGUUGCCUUAGCCAUGUGAAUCUCCUUCGACGAGUCGAGUUGUUUGGGAAUGCAGCUCUAAAUGGGAGGUAAAUUUCUUCUAAAGCUAAAUACCGGCCAGAGACCGAUAGCGCACAAGUAGAGUGAUCGAAAGAUGAAAAGCACUUUGGAAAGAGAGUUAAAAAGUACGUGAAAUUGUUGAAAGGGAAGCGCUUGCAACCAGACUUGUCCGCAGUUGCUCAGCCGGUCUCCUGACCGGCGUACUCUUCUGCGGMCAGGCCAGCAUCAGUUCGGGCGGUCGGAUAAAGGCCUCGGGAAUGUAGCUCCUCUCGGGGAGUGUUAUAGCCCGGGGUGGAAUGCGACCAGCCUGGACUGAGGAACUCGCUUCGGCAAGGAUGCUGGCGUAAUGGUUGUAAGCGGCCCGUCUUGAA